rnacentral:lncRNA from 1 species
UUUUUUUUUUUUUUUGAUAAGUUCAAAGCUUUAUUGAUGAACAAAUCGAAAGAGAUUACAAGGUGAGAAAGGUACUCACCUAGGAUACAGGAAAAAAAACAAAAUAGAGCAAACUUACAUCUUACUAUUACCCUCCCAUAAUAUGAGCAGCCCAGUCAAGGAACAAUUCAUGUAAAUGGUGACCUCUUCUGGAUUCCGAGCAAGCAAGCCAAUACCAGAGGUACCAUUCAACCUCCUGACACACCCUUUGUACAAUUCUGCAUCUACCCUUGAAGAUCUUGUCAUUCGGAGCUUUUCAGAUUGCCCAAAUGACCGCAUACGGAGCCACAAGAUGCUACCGUUUAUGUGCUCAUUGAAGGAGCUAAUUGGGGCCAAGUGGUUCAAAAUCUUCCGCAGUGCAAACUUAAGUCAGAUAUCCUCAGCAUAGCAGUGGAAAGAGACCCGCCAGCUGAUAGGGUUAUAUGGACUCCGACUUCACAUGGUGGGUUUACUACACACUCAGCCUACAAUGCUCUAAGGACUCCUAAAGAUAAAGUGAUGUGGCGCAAUCUGGUUUGGGGUAAGUGGGUUGUUCCUAAACACUCAUUUAUUUCAUGGUUGCUUCUAUCUGGUAAUCUUGCAACUCAGGAUAGGUUGGUGCAAAAAAAUGUGAUGCAGACCUCUCAGUGUUGUUUCUGUAAAAGGGAGAGAGAAAAUUGUAAGCACUUGUUCUUUUCCUGCCCUUACACCCUAGCAAUUUGGAAAUCUAUCAAAGUGGAGAUGGGACUAGAUAUCGACCAGAACAAUGUCAAUAGGGAAUGGCAAAAAGUGUUUGCAGCAUGUAGCAAGAAUGAUGUUACGGCAGAAAUCUACAAGGUGUUCAUCUGUGCUGUUGUUUACUUUAUCUGGCAAGAAAGAAACUAUAGAACUUUCAGAAAUGAAAGUAGACCUUGGGGCAUUGUCAGAGAUAUUAUUAGAAGAGAAGUAAAAGAUUACCUGCAGGAAUCUAUAGGAGCUAUUCAAGAUACUACCUCUGCAAGAGAAACUCUGGCUAAACUUGGGCUUGUUGGUCAGUUUAAGAAGACAGUCUACUGCACUUGGUUCAAACCUCAGGAAGAUUUUGUAAAGCUGAAUUUUGAUGGAUCAAUGACUGAUGUGAGGAGUGGUAUAGGUGGUGUGAUAAGAAACACACAGGGAGAAGUUUUGCUGGCCUAUGCAGGAUCAGGAGGAGAAAAGUAGGUUAUAUUUCAAGAACUUAAAGCUAUUUUGACUAGUUUAAAGGGAUGCAGGUUAAUCCAGAAGAACAAAGUCAUUGUUGCUACUGAUUCUAUGUUUGCAGUCCAGUUUUUGUUGAAGAAAUCUAAGCCCCCUUGGUAUUGCCAAAGUUUAGUUGCAGAAAUUAUGCAUCUAGAGGAAGGUUUUGAUAGUGUUAUCUAUAAACAUGUAUAUAGAGAGUCUAAUAGAGUGGCAAACUAUCUUGCUAGUCUUGAGAAUUUUGUAGGAGUAAAUUUCUUUAUAUAUAGGUCCCUUUUGUAGUCUGAUGAGCAGGUUUGUACUCGAUGAUAUGAACGGUUGUAUUUACACGAGAUCUUAAUACAGG